rnacentral:rRNA from 1 species
AGUGAACGCUGGCGGCAGGCCUAACACAUGCAAGUCGAGCGGCAGCGCGGGGGCAACCCUGGCGGCGAGCGGCGGACGGGUGAGGAAUGCGUCGGAAUCUGCCUCUUUGUGGGGGAUAACGUAGGGAAACUUACGCUAAUACCGCAUACGACCUACGGGUGAAAGUGGGGGACCGCAAGGCCUCACGCAGAGAGAUGAGCCGACGCCGGAUUAGCUAGUUGGCGGGGUAAAGGCCCACCAAGGCGACGAUCCGUAGCUGGUCUGAGAGGAUGAUCAGCCACACUGGAACUGAGACACGGUCCAGACUCCUACGGGAGGCAGCAGUGGGGAAUAUUGGACAAUGGGCGCAAGCCUGAUCCAGCCAUGCCGCGUGUGUGAAGAAGGCCUUCGGGUUGUAAAGCACUUUUGUCCGGAAAGAAAAGCAUUCGGUUAAUAACCGGGUGUCAUGACGGUACCGGAAGAAUAAGCACCGGCUAACUUCGUGCCAGCAGCCGCCGUAAGAC